UCUCUCCGUACGGGGAAGGAUGAGAAGCUUCGACUAAGGUUCGAUUCGAGCGCAGCGAGAAAGCGUUGCCGUAGGCAACGACCCGAAGGGCGAAGCGCGCAGCGCUGAGUAAUCCUUCCCCCGUCAUCC
rnacentral:sRNA from 1 species